GCGUUCGUGGUGUAAGUGGUUAGCAUUCUAGACGCGUAUUCCAGAGGUCCGUGGUUCGAGUCCCGGCGAAGGCG
rnacentral:tRNA from 1 species